UGGUCUUAUGAGCCAAAGGUCGCGGGUUCGAGCCCCGCCU
rnacentral:tRNA from 1 species